CUAGCCGACGAUGGAUAGGGGUUCUGAGAGGAAGGUCCCCCACAUUGGAACUGAGACACGGUCCAAACUCCUACGGGAGGCAGCAGUGAGGAAUAUUGGUCAAUGGACGAGAGUCUGAACCAGCCAAGUAGCGUGAAGGAUGAAGGUUCUAUGGAUUGUAAACUUCUUUUAUAAGGGAAUAAAGUGCUUUACGUGUAGAGUUUUGUAUGUACCUUAUGA
rnacentral:rRNA from 1 species